UACGGAGGGUGCAAGCGUUAUCCGGAUUCACUGGGUUUAAAGGGUGCGUAGGUGGGCAGGUAAGUCAGUGGUGAAAUCUCCGGGCUUAACCCGGAAACUGCCGUUGAUACUAUUUGUCUUGAAUAUUGUGGAGGUAAGCGGAAUAUGUCAUGUAACGGUGAAAUGCUUAGAUAUGACAUAGAACACCAAUUGCGAAGGCAGCUUACUACACAAUGAUUGACACUGAGGCACGAAAGCGUGGGGAUCAAACAGG
rnacentral:rRNA from 1 species